AAAGACUGCAGUUUUGCAUUGUUUGUAUUCAACGUUUUCCAUCCUUCUUAUUUGUAAAAACUUUUAUAAUUAGUAUUUUUAUUGUUAUUAUAUGUAAAACAUGAAAAGUACUCUAUGUAGAACUAAUUUUUUAUAUUUUUUUAAUAAGACGGACAAUCAAACAAACGGUGGACACGAAAACACAUGAUUACACUUAAA
rnacentral:pre_miRNA from 1 species